GGGGGGUGCAAGCGUUAUUCGGAAUCACUGGGCGUAAAGAGCGCGUAGGCGGUCUCUUAAGUCAGAUGUGAAAGCCCGGGGCUCAACCCCGGAAGUGCAUUUGAAACGAAGGGACUUGAGUAUGGGAGAGGGAAGUGGAAUUCCUGGUGUAGCGGUGAAAUGCGUAGAUAUCAGGAGGAACACCGGUGGCGAUGGCGACUUCCUGGACCAAUACUGACGCUGAGGCGCGAAGGCGUGGGGAGCAAACAGGGAUUAGAUACCCUGGUAGUCCACGCAGUAAACGUUGAACACUAGGUGUAGCGGGUAUUGACCCCCCUGCUGUGCCGCAGCUAACGCAUUAAGUGUUCCGCCUGGGGAGUACGGCCGCAAGGCUA
rnacentral:rRNA from 1 species